GUUCAAAUUAUGCUCAACUUGUCAAAGAAGAUUGAAUUCUACCAAAUUUUAUCAAAGAAAUCAUCAUAAGCCCCUCACCAAAAAUCUAAUGGAGUAAUAACCAACUCAAAAACAAUCACACACCACCAACCAAACAGGAUAAAACAAUAAAGCCAACAAAAAGAUAAAAGUGAUACACAUAUCUAUUCUCACCCCCCUCCCCCAAACUUAUUACAGAACAUAAGUUCGAAAAUAAGUUUGGAGGGAUGAUGAUAUGUGUGUCACUACUCACAGAAAAAACAUGCUCCAUGGUGGUGGUAUGAACCAAGCGCGAGUUCCCGCAUCUUCCAAGCUCAACGCUGCACUAAAAACCCCAAAACAAAGAAAACAAAGAAAACAAAGAAACAAAAAGAAACUAAACGAAAGGAAAACAAAACAAAGAAAACGGUUGGGUUACCUCCCAACAAGUGCUUAAUUUAACGUCUAGAGCUCGACGAUACCUCAAAAACUCAUGGAGGUCGGAAACAGCACUCUAACCAUUGGAAAGCUUUUCUACUCUUUGGUGCCCUCUCCACCAAGACACUUCUCUUGGC
rnacentral:lncRNA from 1 species